rnacentral:rRNA from 1 species
GACGAGCGCUGGCGGCGUGCUUAACACAUGCAAGUCGAGCGGUAAGGCCCUUUCGGGGGUACACGAGCGGCGAACGGGUGAGUAACACGUGGGUGACCUGCCCUCAGCUCUGGGAUAAGCCUGGGAAACCGGGUCUAAUACCGGAUAUGACUCCAUGACGCAUGUUGUGGGGUGGAAAGCCUUGUGCGGCUGAGGAUGGGCCCGCGGCCUAUCAGCUUGUUGGUGGGGNGAUGGCCUACCAAGGCGACGACGGGUAGCCGGCCUGAGAGGGCGACCGGCCACACUGGGACUGAGACACGGCCCAGACUCCUACGGGAGGCAGCAGUGGGGAAUCUUGCGCAAUGGGCGAAAGCCUGACGCAGCGACGCCGCGUGAGGGAUGACGGCCUGG